GCUGUACAGUACCUCUAAGGCUGCCUCAGACUCCUCUAAAGCUGCUUGGAGCUCAUCCUUCUCCAUCUCCAUUCUUUUCUUGGACUUUUGAAGCUCAUGGACACUUCUGCCACCUUCUCCCAGCUGAUCUGUAAGUCUCCAUUUGCUCAAUGGCUUCUUCGUACGCAGUUUUCAGUUUGAAGAGGUCGGUGGCAUGUUGGUGGCUCUCCUUCUGGCACCCUUCCAUCUCAGCCAUGAUCUCCUCGCAUUUCUGACGCCAGUCUGACAGCUGUUUCUCCAUCACAUGCUGCUUCUUGUCCAGAGCUCCUGCCGUAGCAUUGGCCUGAAGAGGAAGAACAGCAAGGCAAAUCAAUGCAGAGAUCCUCAACUUCUCCCUGCAGUCGCUGCUUGGUUUUCUCCAGGCUAGAGCACUUUGACUGGGAGGCCUCCACAGCUUCCUCUGCCACCUGCAGACGUGAUGAGAGCUUUUUCCUGGAAAAGACACAACUCCAGGUGAGGAUGAAUCAAAGACAUCUUGUUGGAGAGGCACAUACAUUAAAAGAUAAAAAUCUACAUGUCUCUGCUCGACCCUGACAAGCUUUCCCUGUAAUUUCAACAGAACACGGACAACUGCUAUACAUCUACAUACCUUGCCUCCAGGAUAGGAUUCAUUCUAAUUCAGGGGAGUCAAUUGACACUAAAAAGUGUAAACUUCCUUCCUGGUGAAUUACACCGUGUAACAAAUUUUUUUUUUUUUUGGUUCCUGGGUAGUAAGUGU